rnacentral:rRNA from 1 species
GUCCACGCCCUAAACGAUGGAUACUCGACAUCAGCGAUACACUGUUGGUGUCUGAGCGAAAGCAUUAAGUAUCCCACCUGGGAAGUACGAUCGCAAGAUUGAAACUCAAAGGAAUUGACGGGGUCCGCACAAGCGGUGGAGCAUGUGGUUUAAUUCGAUGAUACGCGAGGAACCUUACCUGGGCUAGAAUGCGGUUUGACCGCUGGUGAAAGCUAGUUUUGUCGCAAGACACAGAUCGUAAGGUGCUGCAUGGCUGUCGU